CAGUAGCCGCGGUAAAACGGAGGGGGCUAGCGUUGUUCGGAAUUACUGGGCGUAAAGCGCACGUAGGCGGCUUGGUAAGUUAGAGGUGAAGGCCUGGAGCUCAGCUCUAGAAUUGCCUUUAAGACUGCCGAGCUAGUAGGUGAGAGAGGUAAGUGGAAUUCCGAGUGUAGAGGUGAAAUUCGUAGAUAUUCGGAAGAACACCAGUGGCGAAGGCGGCUUACUGGCUCAUUCUAGACGCUGAGGUGCGAAAGCGUGGGGAGCAAACAGGAUUAGAUACCCCGGUAGUCCCUGUCUCUUAUAC
rnacentral:rRNA from 1 species